rnacentral:tRNA from 16 species
CAGUGGCCAAGUGGUAAUGCGGCCGAUCCGCAUUUGUGUAGCCGGCGGUUCGAACCCCAGAC